GAUUAUAAUUAUUCGGCGAUGGGGCCGGCGUGUCCGUGUCGGACAAAAGUCCCAUAAACAUUAAGAUAAUAAAA